rnacentral:rRNA from 1 species
GGUGGGUUAAUACCCACGGACGAUGACAUUAGCUGCAGAAUAAGCACCGGCUAACUCUGUGCCAGCAGCCGCGGUAUACAGAGGGUGCAAGCGUUAAUCGGAAUUACUGGGCGUAAAGCGAGCGUAGGUGGCUUGAUAAGUCAGAUGUGAAAUCCCCGGGCUUAACCUGGGAACUGCAUCUGAAACUGUUAGGCUAGAGUAGGUGAGAGGAAGGUAGAAUUCCAGGUGUAGCGGUGAAAUGCGUAGAGAUCUGGAGGAAUACCGAUGGCGAAGGCAGCCUUCUGGCAUCAUACUGACACUGAGGCUCGAAAGCGUGGGUGGCAAACAGGAUUAGAUACCCUGGUAGUCCACGCCGUAAACGAUGUCUACUAGUCGUUGGGUCCCUUGAGGACUUAGUGACGCAGCUAACGCAAUAAGUAGACCGCCUGGGGAGUACGGCCGCAAGGUUAAAACUCAAAUGAAUUGACGGGGGCCCGCACAAGCGGUGGAGCAUGUGGUUUAAUUCGAUGCAACGCGAAGAACCUUACCUGGUCUUGACAUAUCUAGAAUCCUGCAGAGAUGCGGGAGUGCCUUCGGGAAUUAGAAUACAGGUGCUGCAUGGCUGUCGUCAGCUCGUGUCGUGAGAUGUUGGGUUAAGUCCCGCAACGAGCGCAACCCUUGUCCUUAGUUACCAGCGGGUUAAGCCGGGAACUCUAAGGAUACUGCCAGUGACAAACUGGAGGAAGGCGGGGACGACGUCAAGUCAUCAUGGCCCUUACGACCAGGGCUACACACGUGCUACAAUGGUAGGUACAGAGGGCAGCUACACAGCGAUGUGAUGCGAAUCUCAAAAAGCCUAUCGUAGUCCAGAUUGGAGUCUGCAACUCGACUCCAUGAAGUAGGAAUCGCUAGUAAUCGCGGAUCAGAAUGCCGCGGUGAAUACGUUCCCGGGCCUUGCACACACCGCCCGUC